rnacentral:tRNA from 1 species
GCGGAUGUGGCGCAGUUGGUAGCGCGUCUCCUUGCCAAGGAGAAGGUCGCCGGUUCGAAUCCGGUCAUCCGCU